rnacentral:rRNA from 1 species
UUCCGGUUGAUCCCGCCGGAGGUUACUGCUAUCGAGGUUCGACUAAGCCAUGCGAGUCGAAUGUAGCAAUACAUGGCGAACUGCUCAGUAACACGUGGACAACCUGCCCUUAGGUUGGGUAUAAACCCGGGAAACUGGGUAUAAUACCCGAUAGGUCUCGAUUGCUGGAAUGCAUCGAGAUUUAAAGCUCCGGCGCCUAAGGAUGGGUCUGCGGCCUAUCAGGUAGUAGUGGGUGUAGCGUACCUACUAGCCUACGACGGGUACGGGUUGUGAGAGCAAGAGCCCGGAGAUGGAUUCUGAGACACGAAUCCAGGCCCUACGGGGUGCAGCAGGCGCGAAAACUUUACAAUGCUGGCAACAGCGAUAAGGGAACCUCGAGUGCCAGGUUACAAAUCUGGCUGUCGAGAUGCCUAAAAAGCAUUUCAUAGCAAGGGCCGGGCAAGACCGGUGCCAGCCGCCGCGGUAACACCGGCGGCUCGAGUGGUAACCGUUAUUAUUGGGUCUAAAGGGUCUGUAGCCGGCCGGAUAAGUCUCUUGAGAAAUCUGGCAGCUUAACUGUCAGGCUUUCAGGAGAUACUGUCUGGCUCGAGGCCGGGAGAGGUGAGAGGUACUUCAGGGGUAGGGGUGAAAUCUUGUAAUCCUUGAAGGACCACCAGUGGCGAAGGCGUCUCACCAGAACGGACCUGACGGCAAGGGACGAAAGCUAGGGGCACGAACCGGAUUAGAUACCCGGGUAGUCCUAGCCGUAAACGAUACUCGCUAGGUGUCGGCCACGGUGCGACCGUUGUCGGUGCCGUAGGGAAGCCGUGAAGCGAGCCACCUGGGAAGUACGGCCGCAAGGCUGAGACUUAAAGGAAUUGGCGGGGGAGCACCACAACGGGUGGAGCUUGCGGUUUAAUUGGAUUCAACGCCGGG